UACGUAGGGUGCAAGCGUUAAUCGGAAUUACUGGGCGUAAAGCGUGCGCAGGCGGUUUUGUAAGACUGUCGUGAAAUCCCCGGGCUUAACCUGGGAAUGGCGUCUGAAACUACGGAGCUGGAGUGUGGCAGAGGGAGGUAGAAUUCCACGUGUAGCGGUGAAAUGCGUAGAUAUGUGGAGGAAUACCGAUGGCGAAGGCAGCCUCCUGGGCCAACACUGACGCUCAUGCACGAAAGCGUGGGGAGCAAACAGG
rnacentral:rRNA from 1 species